rnacentral:sRNA from 1 species
UUGCAUUAGGGAUUGAAGCGAUAUCCUUUUUGAGGCACGAAAAAAGAUAAAGCGGAAAGCCCGACCCGAA